rnacentral:rRNA from 1 species
UACAGAGGCCUCGAGCGUUAGGCGGAAUCACUGGGCUUAAAGCGCGCGCAGGCGGUUUCUUAAGUCUGAUGUGAAAGCCCACGGCUCAACCGUGGAGGGUCAUUGGAAACUGGGGAACUUGAGUGCAGAAGAGAAAAGCGGAAUUCCACGUGUAGCGGUGAAAUGCGUAGAGAUGUGGAGGAACACCAGUGGCGAAGGCGGCUUUUUGGUCUGUAACUGACGCUGAGGCGCGAAAGCGUGGGGAGCGAACAGG